rnacentral:rRNA from 1 species
UACGGAGGGUGCGAGCGUUAAUCGGAUUUACUGGGCGUAAAGCGUGCGCAGGCGGCCCGUUAAGACAGGUGUGAAAUCCCUGGGCUCAACCUAGGAAUUGCGCUUGUGACUGGCGGGCUAGAGUACGGUAGAGGGGGGUGGAAUUCCUGGUGUAGCAGUGAAAUGCGUAGAGAUCAGGAGGAACACCGAUGGCGAAGGCAGCCCCCUGGGCCUGUACUGACGCUCAGGCACGAAAGCGUGGGGAGCAAACAGG